AACGAACGCUGGCGGCAUGCCUAACACAUGCAAGUCGAACGAGACCUUCGGGUCUAGUGGCGCACGGGUGCGUAACGCGUGGGAACCUGCCUUUAGGUUCGGAAUAACUCAGAGAAAUUUGAGCUAAUACCGGAUGAUGUCUUCGGACCAAAGAUUUAUCGCCUUGAGAUGGGCCCGCGUUGGAUUAGCUAGUUGGUGGGGUAAAGGCCUACCAAGGCGACGAUACAUAGCUGGUCUGAGAGGAUGAUCAGCCACACUGGGACUGAGACACGGCCCAGACUCCUACGGGAGGCAGCAGUGGGGAAUAUUGGACAAUGGGCGAAAGCCUGAUCCAGCAAUGCCGCGUGAGUGAUGAAGGCCUUAGGGUUGUAAAGCUCGUUUACCCGAGAUGAUAAUGACAGUAUCGGGAGAAUAAGCUCCGGCUAACUCCGUG
rnacentral:rRNA from 1 species